GACGAACGCUGGCGGCGUGCCUAAUACAUGCAAGUUGAGCGCUGAAGGUUGGUACUUGUACCAACUGGAUGAGCAGCGAACGGGUGAGUAACGCGUGGGGAAUCUGCCUUUGAGCGGGGGACAACAUUUGGAAACGAAUGCUAAUACCGCAUAAAAACUUUAAACACAAGUUUUAAGUUUGAAAGAUGCAAUUGCAUCACUCAAAGAUGAUCCCGCGUUGUAUUAGCUAGUUGGUGAGGUAAAGGCUCACCAAGGCGAUGAUACAUAGCCGACCUGAGAGGGUGAUCGGCCACAUUGGGACUGAGACACGGCCCAAACUCCUACGGGAGGCAGCAGUAGGGAAUCUUCGGCAAUGGACGAAAGUCUGACCGAGCAACGCCGCGUGAGUGAAGAAGGUUGUCGGAUCGUAAAACUCGGUUGGUAGAGAAGAACGUUGGUGAGAGUGGAAAGCGCAUCAAGUGACGGUAACUACCCAGAAAGGGACGGCUAACUACGUG
rnacentral:rRNA from 1 species